AACAAGGAUUCCCCUAGUACUGCGAGUGAAGCGGGAAAAGCUCAAAUUUAAAAUCUGGCGGUCUCUGGCCGUCCGAGUUGUAAUCUAGAGAAGUGUUAUCCGCGCUGGACCGUGUACAAGUCUCCUGGAAUGGAGCGUCAUAGAGGGUGAGAAUCCCGUCUUUGACACGGACUGCCAGGGCUUUGUGAUGCGCUCUCAAAGAGUCGAGUUGUUUGGGAAUGCAGCUCAAAAUGGGUGGUAAAUUCCAUCUAAAGCUAAAUAUUGGCGAGAGACCGAUAGCGAACAAGUACCGUGAGGGAAAGAUGAAAAGAACUUUGGAAAGAGAGUUAAACAGUACGUGAAAUUGCUGAAAGGGAAACGCUUGAAGUCAGUCGCGUUGGCCGGGGAUCAACCUUGCUUUUGCUGGGCGUACUUUCCGGUUGACGGGUCAGCAUCAAUUUUGACCGUUGGAUAAAGUCCAGGGGAAUGUGGCAUCUUCGGAUGUGUUAUAGCCCUUGGUCGCAUACAACGGUUGGGAUUGAGGAACUCAGCACGCCGCAAGGCCGGGUACUUGUACCACGUUCGUGCUUAGGAUGCUGGCAUAAUGGCUUUAAUCGACCCGUCUUGAAACACGGACCAAGGAGUCUAACAUGCCUGCGAGUGUUUGGGUGGAAAACUCGGACGCGUAAUGAAAGUGAAAGUUGAGAUCCCUGUCGUGGGGAGCAUCGACGCCCGGACCAGACCUUUUGUGACGGAUCCGCGGUAGAGCAUGUAUGUUGGGACCCGAAAGAUGGUGAACUAUGCCUGAAUAGGGUGAAGCCAGAGGAAACUCUGGUGGAGGCUCGUAGCGAUUCUGACGUGCAAAUCGAUCGUCAAAUUUGGGUAUAGGGGCGAAAGACUAAUCGAACCAUCUAGUAGCUGGUUCCUGCCGAAUUUCCC
rnacentral:rRNA from 1 species